UACGAGGGGGGCGAGCGUUGUUCGGAAUUAUUGGGCGUAAAGGGUGCGUAGGCGGUUUUGUAAGUCUUAUGUGAAAUCUAUGGGCUCAACUCAUAGACUGCAUGAGAAACUGCAGGGCUUGAGUAUGGGAGAGGUGAGUGGAAUUCCUGGUGUAGCGGUGAAAUGCGUAGAUAUCAGGGGGAACACCUGUGGCGAAAGCGGCUCACUGGACCAUAACUGACGCUGAUGCACGAAAGCUAGGGGAGCAAACAGG
rnacentral:rRNA from 1 species